UUAUGAUGGCAGAAAUAACCCUAGCUUUUGGGAUAGAGAUGUUGAAGAAAUUUAGCUUGUGCUUCUUUAUGAUUUUAUGAAAAUUUGUGUAAUCCUCCUUACCCAGAUCAAAAGCUCUUUCUUCCACAAAUUUUCUAUCUACCAAGCUCUCGAAUCUCAAAUGGUGGUCUGGAGAAGAAAACCUUGAUGAAUCAAAGGUGACAUGGUUUCUUUUCCUUUGUGAGAAGUUUGUAGCAUGGAGCACAAGAUGAAGAAGAUGAAGAUAACGAAGAAGAUAGAGAAAGAGAAGAGAGA
rnacentral:lncRNA from 1 species